rnacentral:rRNA from 1 species
UACAGAGGUGGCAAGCGUUGUUCGGAAUUACUGGGCGUAAAGGGCUCGUAGGCGGCCAACUAAGUCAGACGUGAAAUCCCCAGGCUCAACCUGGGAACUGCGUCUGAUACUGGAUGGCUUGAAUCCGGGAGAGGGAUGCAGAAUUCCAGGUGUAACGGUGAAAUGCGUAGAUAUCUGGAGGAAUACCGGUGGCGAAGGCGGCAUCCUGGACCGAGAUUGACACUGAGGAGCGAAAGCUAGGGGAGCAAACGGG